AUGUGAGCAAUCUGAUUGGUGUUGGGAGGGGACCAAUCAGAUGGUACUUUCAUAUUUUAAUUGCCACAGAGAAAAAGGAGGGAUUAAAAACUGAGUAGCCUCUGAUAAUACAGUCGGCAUGAAUCAACCUUAGGUUCUCUGCCUGUAGACCCUAUUUUCCUGCUUCAUAUCCUCAUUAAGAGACAUGAUUCCCAUAAAUCUUUGUGGAAGGCAGAAAGAGCUUCCUCUGUUACUGCUUCGUGCUGACAUGGGUCACAGUCCCUACCUAUUGAGGACCAUGGAACUCAUCCUGCCCUGUCUAGUGGAGAUAAGAUGGAGUUUUGCUCUUGUUGCCCAGGCUGGAGUGCAAUGGAACAAUCUCAGCUCACUACAACCUCCGUCUCCCUGGUUCAAGUGAUUCUCCUGCCUCAGCCUCCUAAUAGCUAGGAUUACAAUCAUGCACCACCAUGCCUGGCUAAUUUUGUAUUUUUAGUAGAGACAGGGUUUCUCCAUGUUAGUCAGGCUGGUCUUAAGCUCCCGACCUCAGGUGUGCCGCCCUCCUUGGCCUCCCAAAGUGCUGGGAUUACAGGCAUGAGCCACACGCGCCCUCUAUCCUUGCUUUUAAUGAUGAGGAAGCCAAGGUCCCAGAGGUCUGAUGGUUUGUUACUAAGUAGCAGAGCAGACUCACAAGUAGGAGUAAGUAGAAACCCAUACCUCUUUUUUUUCCACUGGUCUAGUGCAAGAGAAAGAUACUAGAAAAUAGACUCUGGGAGAGCAAGAAUCUGAAUACUUCCAACACUUGGCGCAGUUCCUGCACACAGGAACGUUUCAAAAGUGAUGGUGAAAUGAAGGAGUGCAGUCUGGUGAGUGACAGUGCUCUGCAUACUCCUUUACCAGACAGCCCUGGAAAAGAAGACAGGAUAGCAUGCCUCGGACAACCUCCUUGAGUGAUUUUAGGCAGAACUUUUAAGCCUUUGGCACAUAUUUGAAUCACCUGUGGAACUUUUAACAAUUUAAACAUCCUGGCAACACCCUUACCUGCUAAUGUAAGAUCUAAAUGAUACCCUUUAGAGCUAGGUCUCACUGAAUCUUUGCCAUUCAACUCAUUGAAACACAAGUUUCGGGACAACACAGAGCAGAAACCAAAUGGUUUUUUAAAAUUUCCAUUAUUUAAACAGGUAUUAAUUAAUAAACAAAUGACACUUGAAUCUUUCCA
rnacentral:lncRNA from 13 species